GAGUUUGAUCGUGGCUCAGGAUGAACGCUAGCGGCAGGCUUAACACAUGCAAGUCGAGGGGCAGCGCGGGUAGCAAUACCUGGCGGCGACCGGCAAACGGGUGCGGAACACGUACGCAAUCUACCCUUACCCGGGGCAUAGCCCGAAGAAAUUCGGAUUAACUCCCCAUAAGAUAUUAGAGAGGCAUCUCUUAGAUAUUAAAAAUUUAUUGGGUAAGGAUGAGCGUGCGUCCCAUUAGCUAGUUGGUAGGGUAACGGCCUACCAAGGCGACGAUGGGUAGCUGGUGUGAGAGCACGACCAGCCACACGGGCACUGAGACACGGGCCCGACUCCUACGGGAGGCAGCAGUGAGGAAUAUUGGUCAAUGGACGCAAGUCUGAACCAGCCAUGCCGCGUGAAGGAUGAAGGCCUUCUGGGUUGUAACUUCUUUUAUCUGGGAAGAAACCUCCGAUUUCUAUUGGAGUUGACGGUCCAGAGGAAUAGCACCGGCUAACUCCGUGCCAGCAGCCGCCGCGGUAAC
rnacentral:rRNA from 1 species